CUACGGGUCGCUGCAGUGAGGAAUUUUGCGCAAUGGGGGAAACCCUGACGCAGCAACGCCGCGUGAGUGAUGAAGGCCUUCGGGUCGUAAAGCUCUGUCAAGUGGGAAGAACCUACAGAGUGCCAAUACCACUUUGUACUGACGGUACCACUGAAGGAAGCACCGGCUAACUCCGUGCCAGCAGCCGCGGUAAUACGGAGGGUGCAAGCGUUAUUCGGAAUUAUUGGGCGUAAAGCGCGCGCAGGCGGCCAGAUAAGUCAGAUGUGAAAGCCCGGGGCUCAACCCCGGAAGUGCAUUUGAAACUAUUUGGCUUGAGUAUGGGAGAGGGAAGUGGAAUUCCUGGUGUAGAGGUGAAAUGCGUAGAUAUCAGGAGGAACACCGGUGGCGAAGGCGACUUCCUGGACCAAUACUGACGCUGAGGCGCGAAGGCGUGGGGAGCAAACAGGAUUAGAUACCCGCGUAGUC
rnacentral:rRNA from 1 species